rnacentral:rRNA from 1 species
UACGAAGGGGGCUAGCGUUGUUCGGAUUUACUGGGCGUAAAGGGCGUGUAGGCGGCUGAAUGAGUGGGAUGUUAAAUCCCCGGGCUCAACCCGGGACCUGCAUCUCAUACUGUUCAGCUCGAGCACAUCAGAGGAGACUGGAAUUCCCGGUGUUGCGGUGAAAUGCGUAGAUAUCGGGAGGAACACCAGUGGCGAAGGCGAGUCUCGGGGAUGUUGCUGACGCUGAGGCGCGAAAGCCAGGGGAGCAAACGGG